rnacentral:rRNA from 1 species
CGCGUAGGCGGACUGUUAAGUCGGGGGUGAAAUCCCAGGGCUCAACCCUGGAACUGCCCCCGAUACUGGCAGCCUGGAGGUCGAGAGAGGUGAGUGGAAUGCCGAGUGUAGAGGUGAAAUUCGUAGAUAUUCGGCGGAACACCAGUGGCGAAGGCGGCUCACUGGCUCGAACCUGACGCUGAGGCGCGAAAGCGUGGGGAGCAAACA